AAGUCGCAACAAGGUUUCCGUAGGUGAACCUGCGGAAGGAUCAUUA
rnacentral:rRNA from 1 species